AAAAACCUACCUCGCCGGAACAAGUGGAGUCGUCGGAGAUACCCGGAGAUCACGACGGGAAGCACUUCAUCACCGUUCGUGAUGGUGAAGCCGAUGAUCGCUGGAAAAAUCCCGACUCCCGCCAUAACAGUCCAACGCUCCUCACCUUCAAAUUCUCUAAUCGGAAUCAUUGCGACACGUUGGAAACACGCCGGACUUAGAGUUCGAGCCUAAGGCACACCCGGCGUCGUCUGAUCCGUCUAUUCUUUGCAACCGGUAUCACUUCCUUAUGUUUCUUGUGAACAUGCUUGAAGAGAAGAUUGGACAUAGGAUGAGCCUUAGUUAACAAGAAACGGAUAAAUGUAGCUUAGUGGUUAUGAUCAAUGUCUCAUUUGUAAUUGUUUAUUUGAAUUAUUGUUAUUUGAAACAAUUGUUAUGAAUAAAUCAUUAUUUAAAAC
rnacentral:lncRNA from 1 species